rnacentral:rRNA from 1 species
UACGUAGGCAGCAAGCGUUGUUCGGAGUUACUGGGCGGAAAGGGUGUGUAGGCGGUUUUCUAAGUCUGGUGUGAAAUCUCCCGGCUCAACUGGGAGGGUGCGCCGAAAACUGGAAGGCUAGAGUGCGGGAUGGGAGAGUGGAAUUCCUGGUGUAGCGGUGAAAUGCGUAGAUAUCAGGAGGAACACCUGUGGUGUAGACGGCUCUCUGGACCGCAACUGACGCUGAGACACGAAAGCGUGGGUAGCAAACAGG